rnacentral:rRNA from 1 species
AUUGAACGCUGGCGGCAGGCCUAACACAUGCAAGUCGAGCGGAUGAAGGGAGCUUGCUCCUGGAUUCAGCGGCGGACGGGUGAGUAAUGCCUAGGAAUCUGCCUGGUAGUGGGGGGUAACGUCCGGAAACGGGCGCUAAUACCGCAUACGUCCUGAGGGAGAAAGUGGGGGAUCUUCGGACCUCACGCUCUCAGAUGAGCCUAGGUCGGAUUAGCUAGUUGGUGGGGUAAAGGCCUACCAAGGCGACGAUCCGUAACUGGUCUGAGAGGAUGAUCAGUCACACUGGAACUGAGACACGGUCCAGACGCCUAAGGGAGGCAGCAGUGGGGAAUAUUGGACAAUGGGCGAAAGCCUGAUCCAGCCAUGCCGCGUGUGUGAAGAAGGUCUUCGGAUUGUAAAGCACUUUAAGUUGGGAGGAAGGGCAGUAAGUUAAUACCUUGCUGUUUUGACGUUACCAACAGAAUAAGCACCGGCUAACUUCGUG